GUCGAGCGGCAGCGGGGAGUAGCUUGCUACUCUGCCGGCGAGCGGCGGACGGGUGAGUAAAGUCUGGGGAUCUGGCUUAUGGAGGGGGGUAACCAUUGGAAACGGUGGCUAAUACCGCAUGAUGUCGCAAGACCAAAGUGGGGGACUUUAGGGCCUCACGCCAUAAGAUGAACCCAGAUGAGAUUAGCUAGUAGGUGCGGUAAUGGCGUACCUAGGCGACGAUCUCUAGCUGGUCUGAGAGGAUGACCAGCCACACUGGAACUGAGAAACGGUCCAGACUCCUACGGGAGGCAGCAGUGGGGAAUAUUGCACAAUGGGCGGAAGCCUGAUGCAGCCAUGCCGCGUGUGUGAAGAAGGCCUUAGGGUUGUAAAGCACUUUCAGCGGGGAGGAAGGCGGUAAGAGUAAUAUGCUUAUCGAUUGACGUUACCCGCAAAAGAAGCACCGGCUAACUCCGUGCCAGCAGCCGCGGUAAUACGGAGGGUGCGAGCGUUAAUCGGAAUAACUGGGCGUAAAGGGCAUGUAGGCGGUAAGUUAAGUCAGAUGUGAAAUCCCCGAGCUUAACUUGGGAACGGCAUUUGAGACUGGCGGGCUAGAGUUUUGUAGAGGGGGGUAGAAUUCCAGGUGUANCGGUGAAAUGCGUAGAGAUCUGGAGGAAUACCGGUGGCGAAGGCGGCCCCCUGGACAAGGACUGACGCUGAGGUGCGAAAGCGUGGGUAGCAAACAGGAUUAGAUACCCUGGUAGUCCACGCUGUAAACNAUGUCGAUUUGGAGGUUGUGGCCUANUGUUAUGGCGUCCGAAGCUAACGCGAUAAAUCGACCGCCUGGGGAGUACGGCCGCAAGGUUAAAACUCAAUGAAUUGACGGGGNNCCGCACAAGCGGGUGGAGCAUGUGGUUUAAUUCNAUGCACGCGAA
rnacentral:rRNA from 1 species